rnacentral:lncRNA from 1 species
UGUCCAAAAAAUUAUGAUAUGAUCAUGUAUACUUUUAAAAGUGUUACUAUUUUUUUUGAAGUUCUUAACGUUAAAUAGUGUAAGAAUUUUCAGAAAAUAGCAUAAAUGGAAAAGUUUAUUUAUUUUCAACUAUCCACUCACUGAGUUAUAAACUCAUAUCUUUUUACCAUGUUUUCCUAUCAGGAGAAGGUCGAUUUUGAGAUAUUUGGGAAAGCCUGCUGAAGCAAAAGAGACCGUUUCAUAAGUAUGUAAUGAAUAGUUGGAAAACUUAUGUUUAUUAGGUAAUUGUCUAAUUUUGGGUGACAAGCAUAUUUGUAGAAGAGUUUGUAAGUGAUGUAAUACUUGUAUGUUGACAGGAUGAUGUUGUAGAAACACUCAGUUGAAUUUUGUUAUAUUUUGUAGUAGUUGUGGUGGCACUAGAGGAAGUGGUGGUUUCCAAAACUUUUGGUUUAAAUGUCUAUUUGAGAUUUUGAUGAUUUUUCAGGUUGGUUUUGUCCAUGUUACAGGGGAAAUUCUAUCAAAAUUUUCAUAGAAAUUAGCACAGUCAAAAUAGAUCAAGUUUGCCUUGAUGGUGGGUCCGACAUUUAGCUGG